rnacentral:rRNA from 1 species
AAUAGAUACCCUGGUAGUCCACGCCCUAAACGAUGUCUACUAGUUGUUGGGUCUUAAUUGACUUAGUAACGCAGCUAACGCGUGAAGUAGACCGCCUGGGGAGUACGGUCGCAAGAUUAAAACUCAAAGGAAUUGACGGGGACCCGCACAAGCGGUGGAUGAUGUGGAUUAAUUCGAUGCAACGCGAAAAACCUUACCUACCCUUGACAUGUCAGGAACCUCCGAGAGAUUGGAGGGUGCCCGAAAGGGAACCUGAACACAGGUGCUGCAUGGCUGUCGUCAGCUCGUGUCGUGAGAUGUUGGGUUAAGUCCCGCAACGAGCGCAACCCUUGUCAUUAGUUGCUACGAAAGGGCACUCUAAUGAGACUGCCGGUGACAAACCGGAGGAAGGUGGGGAUGACGUCAAGUCCUCAUGGCCCUUAUGGGUAGGGCUUCACACGUCAUACAAUGGUACAUACAGAGGGCCGCCAACCCGCGAGGGGGAGCUAAUCCCAGAAAGUGUAUCGUAGUCCGGAUUGUAGUCUGCAACUCGACUACA